rnacentral:sRNA from 1 species
UUUAUAAACAAUAUCUGGUUUCGGUCGGACAUGUAUAGUAAGCAUGUACAGUUCAAAAUUAUCAUUUUUAACAAUUAUUAGAAUUUAACCUACGAUACACUCCAGAACUAUAUAUUUUUAAGAAAAUAAAAAUUUAUUCUUUUAAUAAACUAAAGAUAUAUAUACUUUAAUGUUUUGUAUUUUCUAAAUGUACAACUCUAUAUCUAUAUAUUAUUUAUUGUAUAAUUACUAUGUUUGAUUUUUAUUGUUUAAAAAUAUAGGAACAAUAACAUACAAUUCAUUAAGUUAAAAUAGAUCUGGAACUUCGGUAAAAACCGUUUGAACCGACCCGAUCAUAACGAUAUUUUCGGUUAUCGGUAUAAACCAAACAGAGUCCUCUUUACCAAUCGGCGAAAUUAAUUUAAGCAAUCGGAUUUCGGUUCGAUAAUCGGUUUUAUUUAAACCGAGAAUAUGCACCCAUAUAUAACACUAAUGAGUCAUUAACCCUAAUUUGGUUUCAUUUUCUUCUUUGGAUAUGCGCCUCUAUCUCUUGAGAAUUCAUUUUCUUCUCCGAUCUAAUCCAUAAGCCAUAUAACGUUUCUUUACUUUCAUCAUUUCAUCAUCUCCUACACGCGUUUUUAUUUUACAAAUCAUUGUUAGUAGCUCUUCUUUGAUCUUUGCUCACUAAUCUCUUAUUUAGCACCAAAAUCACGGCUACAGUCACUGGUAACUCUCUAGAUUUGACUGUUCUUCAUUGGCGUUUCAAGUUUUUUAUACAUUUUCGCAAUUUUCUCAAUUUAAAUGAUUGAUUGCAUAUGUUUAUGAUUAUGAUAUAUGAUAGAUCUAGUCGGUGGUAUAAUUAUUUGCAGGUAGAGAGAUCGGUCGUCGCCGUCCGUUGCCGCCGUCCGUUGCGCGUGUCACCGUCAAGGCGUUAAUCAAUAUCGAAAACCGUUGCAUUUAGAGAGAUUGGCCGUCGCCGUCCGUUGUAAAUUUUUUCUUUAUUUUAAUGAUGUAAUGGGUUUGGGCUUUGUUUUUAGCCUGUUAUCUAUUUUUUUUGUAAUUUGGGGUAAAUAAACGAAAAUAGAAAAAUAAUUUUUAUAAUUCGGAAUUAAUAUUAAAUCAUAUAACCAAAUAACUCAUAUACCGAUUGACCCGAACCGAAGUUAAUUUCGGUUCAAUUAGGCGGUUAUUUUCAAAAACCAAAUUUUCUCGAAACCGAACAACCUGACCCGAAUAACCCGUUCUCACCGAACUCCCAAGGCUAAGUUAAAAUCUAGAUUAUAACUAAAUAAUUUAAAUUUCAAUU